AACGCGAAGAACCUUACCUGGAUUUGACAUCCUCGGACAUCCGUAGAAAUACGGCUUUCGUAGUAAUACGACCGGGAGACAGGUGCUGCAUGGCUGUCGUCAGCUCGUGGGGUGACCUGUUGGGUUAAGUCCCGCAACGAGCGCAACCCCUGUCCUUAGUUGCCAGCAUUAAGUUGGGCUCUCUAGGGAGACUGCCGUGGUUAACACGGAGGAAGGUGGGGAUGACGUCAAGUCCUCAUGGCCUUUAUAUCCAGGGCGACACACGUGAUACAAUGGACGGUACAAAGGGAUGCCAAGCGGUAACGCGGAGCUAAUCUCAAAAAGCCGUUCUCAGUUCGGAUUGGAGUCUGCAACUCGACUCCAUGAAGUUGGAAUCGCUAGUAAUCGCGGAUCAGCACGCCGCGGUGAAUACGUUCCCGGGCCUUGUACACACCGACGCAC
rnacentral:rRNA from 1 species